rnacentral:rRNA from 1 species
UACAGAGGUGGCAAGCGUUGUUCGGAAUUACUGGGCGUAAAGGGCGCGUAGGCGGCCAUCUAAGUCAGACGUGAAAUCCCCCGGCUUAACCUGGGAACUGCGUCUGAUACUGGACGGCUUGAGUAUGGGAGAGGGAUGUAGAAUUCCAGGUGUAGCGGUGAAAUGCGUAGAUAUCUGGAGGAAUACCGGUGGCGAAGGCGGCAUCCUGGACCAUUACUGACGCUGAGUGAGCGAAAGCCAGGGGAGCAAACGGG